rnacentral:misc_RNA from 1 species
GAUGAAGAAGUAGCGAAAUGCGAUACUUGGUGUGAAUUGCAGAAUCCCGUGAACCAUCGAGUCUUUGAACGCAAGUUGCGCCUCAAGCCAUUAGGUUGAGGGCACGUCUGCCUGGGCGUCACAUAUCGUUGCCUGAUGCCAGUUUCCUCGUGAUGGGUGACUGUGCAGGGCGAAUGAUGGCUUCCCGUGAGCAUUGUUGCCUCAUGGUUGGUUGAAAAUUGAGUCCUUGGUAGGGAGCGCCGUGAUAGAUGGUGGUUGAGUGACGAACGAGACCCAAUCAUGUGAGACCCCUACCGAAUUUGGCCUUCAUGACCCACAUGCGUCUUUGGAACGCUCAUGACGAGACCUCAGGUCAGGCGGGGCUACCCGCUGAGUUUAAGCAUAUCAAUAAGCGGAGGA